GAGUUUGAGACCAGCCUGGGGCAACAGGGCAAAACCCCAUCUCUACAAAACUGCACCCAGCUAUUUUGUAUUAUUUUUAUCUCGUUGCUUUUUUUUUUUUUCUUUUUCUUUCUUUCUUUUUUUUUUUUAGUGGUUUCAGGCAGUGGUUCAGACCAGCUGCUAGAGAAUCAUGGGCUAAGAAGAGAAGACUACCAAUUUAGUAGAUUUGGACAUGGACAAGCCACAGGCAGUUUCUCUUCUCACUCUCUUGGCCAGUCAUCUCUUGCUCACCUUCCCCUGCCAGUAGCCAGUAGCAUGUGACAGCCUCUAUAUUCCAUCUCCCUUUUCUCCCUCUUCCAGAACUAAGAUGAGUUUUCAAUGGAUAACUGUACAGAAACAUACCCACUGCUGAGUUUAUAAUAAAUAGGUAAAUGGUGUUUAAAAUGCCUUCUGUAGGAAUCCUUGGUAGAUAGUUAUAUGUGGUUGUUUUUUGGGAAGUUGGCUUGAGGUUCUUUGAAGGGCUGGGAACGUGUAUUUCUUUUGCGUGUGCCUGUGUGUGUCAAAAUUUUAUAUGUUCAUCAGUGCUCUACACGUUCAGAGAAACGUUUCCAAUAACGAACCAUAGAAUGAUCCCUGGAGCAUAGGAUCCCACUGUUUGAAAAUUCUAGCCAUCGAUCACUUUAUAAGAAAAGGAUGAAAUUUCAAACAAGGAGUUUGUUUAUCUGAUUUCCACCCUACAGAUAAUAUAUAAAUUUGGCCAAAGUUGUUUGGGGAAGAGGGGCUGUUGUUAGGUACUGAGCUAUAAUACUUUGUUGCUUUGUAUCACUUUUAAAAGUGACUUUUAAAGAUACUUGACAUUUGAAAAGGAAUCACCUUUGAUCUUUCUAAGUCCCUAAUUUGACAUUACCUUUAUAGCAUAUAAUUUAUUCCAUAAAGUCUUAGAUCCUGAAACUAGUGGAAAGCCAAAUACUCAUGUUGUGCUAUAAAUAUAGGAUUGACAGUUAAGCUUACUCAGUAGUCAAGGGGGCGGCUUUCACUCACCAGCCUCCAGGGCAUAUGAACCAAAUUUAUGAUUCAGAACAUUUAAAAUAUACAUUUUGAAGAUCUUUGGGCUCUCUUAAGUAUAGUCUAACUAUAAUAAAUAUUAAACAUGUCAAAGGUCUCUUGCAGUGUUGGGAAGAGCAUUCUAAACCACAUACAUCUUUCCCAUCCCCAGAUUGUUCUGUGUCCCCUCCCACUCUUCCCAGAUUAGAAGUCACCAUGGAGCACUAUUAGUAAUGGGACUCUGUAUCAGAUCUUUAAGGUGUAUUGGGACAGAAGAAAGGUUGAUAUUUUGGGGUUGUUUGUUUUUUUUGAGACGGAGUUUUCACUCUUGUUGCCCAGGCUGGAGUGCUAUGGCGUGAUCUUGGCUCACUACAAUCUCCGCCUCCCUGGUUCAAGCAAUUCUCCUGCCUCAGCCUCCUGAGUAGCUGGGAUUACAUGCGCCCACCACCAUGCCCGGCUAAUUUUUGUAUUUUUAGUAGAGACGGGGUUUCAUCAUGUUGGCUAGGCUGGUCUCGAACUCCUGACCUCAGGUGAUCUGCCUGUCUUGGCCUCCCAAAAUGUUGGGAUUACAGGUGUGAGCCACCAUGCCCAGCAGGUUCAUAUUUUUAAUGUUUCCUUCUACUCCCCAAGCACACACAAAUUUGAAAGCUGCUUUGCUUUCUAAUAAAGAGGCUUUUCCUUUGAUUUUGGAAGAUAAUUUGAUGUCUCUUUUCUCUUUGCAGGUAUAUGAGCUCCCUGAAAGCACAAAGCAGUUAUUUCCAUCUUCAGAUCAUUCAGAGAUUAUGAAGGCACAAACCCUGCCUUCAAUUUGCUUAUAGUCAAGUGGAGCAGACACAAGUCAAUGAUUGCAGUAUAGCCACUGAAGUAAUCUAAAAGAGGUGAGUGUGGCACUUAACCUCUCCUGGGAGGGGGAGGAAUAAGGCAGUGUUUCCAAGAGGUGAUUUUGGAGCUAUACAGGCAUUAGGUAGACAAGGAAGGGGAGGUCCAUUCUGGGUGCCUAGGACUCUGUGGCUGAUUUAUAAAUCGUAAAUGGUACAAAAAACAGUGUUGAGUAUCUUUUACCUUUCUCCAGAGUACUGUUCUUACUUUUGGAUAGUGCUUCUUGUUUUUUCCUUCCCUCUCCCUGUCCCUGUCACCUUUAAAUUAAAUGAAUGUUUGGAAGGAAGUAGGAGGGUAAGAAUCUUUCUGGGUGGCAGAAUAAUAGAUGGGUCUACCAAGAGCGAUGUAUAUACCCAGUAAAGCCAUCUCUAAAACUGUGUUUCUGCAUUGUUACAGUGCAUAGUUGGGAAAUCUCAGUUUUGUUGGCUGUGUACUUUCCCAGUGAAUGGAUUAUAUUCCUUUCUGCGAGCCAGUCUGUUUGAAUUUAAGGGCAUCUCUUAAAUUCCUUUCAAGCAAGAGACCUAACAUUUAUACUUAGGAAUGAGAGUAGUAGAGACAGCAAGAUUAGAAUCCAAGUUCAUAUACCAAAACAUUUUUAUUUGCUAUGUCUGAGUGACUACAUGUUGUUUGAAUCAACUGCAGGCUAAUUUGUAACAUUUCAAAUAAAUGAUAGUUUAAUUCCUCCAGGAUUUGAGUAAGGUGAAAAUAGAGCUAAAAACCAUGAUUCUGUCACAGUCUGGGAAAAUGAAAAAGCAAUCAAUUAGUGAGUUGGGCUUAAUUUUUUUUUUUUUUUUUUCUGGAACUGGUGAUAGCAGAAAACAAGCAGUAAAGUAGUCAGACAUGAUAUACUUGACAAGAACCACCACCUGUUCAGUAGCAACUCUAAAAUAAGUACUAACUUAGGGGCAGUUGUUGUGCCCAGGUCAUAGUCAUACUCCUUCCAGGAGACUUCCUGAUGACAGAAAAGAUGCUGACCAGCUGGGGUCUUCUUUCCAAAUAACUUUUCUCUUGCAUUUAGAUUAAUUAACCAUUGGUUACAGUGAAACAAGCAUAUGUACAGAGUUAAUCUCCUAUAGCUUGAAGUUAUACAUGAUCUUUAUUUGAGUAUCUUGACUUGUUAAAGGACAGUGUUUUAAAAGCUGGAUUUGGUUAUGUUCUUCUGGAGACUAAGAAAAUAGAGUCCUUGAAAUCAAGCUGACUCUGCUUUUAGCCUCCUAAAUGAAAAGGUAGAUAGAACAGGUCUUGUUUGCAAAAUAAAUUCAAGACCUACUUAUCUACCAACAGCAAUUACACGCUUUCCAUUGUCUUCCUAUAGAAAAUAGGAGUAGUACACUUAUAGAUGAGAAAACUGGAGAAAGACAUAGUGAACAUGUGAGAAUCUUGCUCUACUAAUUGAUAGGAAGGUGACUAGAAAUUGGCGAAGUUUUCUUGGUAAGUUGAGGAGAGGACUUUUCUUAUAGUGCAGUCUGGUAGCUGAACCGCCUUGCAUCAAGACCAAUGUAGUCUUAUUUACAGAAUGCCACAUCACAGUGAAUUGUGCUGUGGACAGCUUCCAGUGUGUGAGUUGUGGAAGAUGAUGAUUUUAACAGAUUUUGGAGGAUGAGAAGUAUUAAGAAGAAGGCCCCACUGUCCAUGCAUUUGCUCUGCUUUUUACUUUUGACCAAGUAUACACUUCAGAAAUAUCUUAUUGGAUGUAUACAAAGUGAUUGUGUGUCAUUUGAACCAGCAGGAAGUAAUUUAUUAAACACACUUUUCUAAAUAAAAGUCAUUUAAUUUUAUCAGAAAUCAGUGUCAUUUUAGAUUGCAAGUCUCAAACCAACUUUCCAAUUCUGACUUGUAAGGGUGCCUUAAAUCCUGAAUACUGUACUCUGUAUUACUAAACCCAUGUUAGUUUACGCCAAGAUUCUGUGGUGGUUUUACAUAUUCUUUUUCCCCUUUGUUAAGGUGGGGAGGCCACAGCUUAUGUGAAUGACUUUCUCAGGAGUUAUAAAGUGAUACAGGUAAAGCUAAGAAAAGAACAGAUUUUGAUAACUUUUGUUUUAACUGUCCAGUGUUAGGGAUUGUGGCUACAGUGGUCUAAUUUUUAAAAACUCUUUUUUUUGCUUUGUUUUUUAACAGACUUAUCAGCAGGUUGCAGGUGAACAUGGCCUUGAGGUAAAUCUGUCCCUUGCUGAAUACAGUUUCAGUAGAUUGUUUAUAGUAGUUUCAGGAAUUGAGAUUUUUUACAAAAAUACAAAAGUUUUGCUUGGUUCUGUUCUAGAUGUUUUCUUCUAAAUAAAUGAGAAAGAUGUUUCAACAAAGGCUCUUUAUGCUGAAUAAUUGUGAUGCUUGAAGUUGCUAAUCUGCUUUAAGUGGAUUUUAAAUGUCAGGCAAUUCUAGACAGUUUUUUCUUGGUCAAAUAAAAAUUUAAUUAAAACUUUAUA
rnacentral:lncRNA from 1 species